rnacentral:rRNA from 1 species
UGCGUAGGCGGUGCGGAAAGUUGGGUGUGAAAGCCCUCGGCUCAACCGAGGAAUUGCGCCCAAAACUGCCGCACUAGAGGAAGACAGAGGUACGCGGAACUUAGGGUGGAGCGGUGAAAUGCGUUGAUAUCCUAAGGAACACCGGUGGCGAAAGCGGCGUACUGGGUCUUAUCUGACGCUGAGGCACGAAAGCUAGGGGAGAGGAAC